rnacentral:rRNA from 1 species
UACAGAGGGUGCAAGCGUUGUUCGGAAUUACUGGGCGUAAAGCGCGUGUAGGCUGCGGAAUAAGUCGGAUGUGAAAGCCCUCAGCUUAACUGAGGAAGUGCAUCCGAUACUGUAUCGCUUGAGUGUCGGAGGGGAUGGCGGAAUUCCCGGUGUAGAGGUGAAAUUCGUAGAUAUCGGGAGGAACACCUGUGGCGAAGGCGGCCAUCUGGACGACGACUGACGCUGAGACGCGAAAGCGUGGGUAGCAAACAGGAUUAGAAACCCCAGUAGUCC